rnacentral:rRNA from 1 species
UACAGAGGUCUCAAGCGUUGUUCGGAUUCAUUGGGCGUAAAGGGUGCGUAGGCGGCGCGGUAAGUCGGGUGUGAAAUUUCGAGGCUUAACUUCGAAACUGCAUUCGAUACUGCCGUGCUAGAGGACUGGAGAGGAGACUGGAAUUUACGGUGUAGCGGUGAAAUGCGUAGAUAUCGUAAGGAAGACCAGUGGCGAAGGCGGGUCUCUGGACAGUACCUGACGCUGAGGCACGAAGGCCAGGGGAGCAAACGGG